rnacentral:rRNA from 1 species
AUGGCAUCCAAGCUAUUCAGCCCAAAAAAUCUGCGCGUCUUCUCCCCGAGGCUGCACAUGCUGAACGAGGCGUUCUGUUACAGCCCGUUUAACCGUAGCAUGCAGAGGAGGUGGAAGAAGCCGGUGGACUCAGCACGAACCCGCCUGGAGAGCAGAACAAGGGACCAUAGGCUGGACAAGCUGAUGAUCCAGCUCAAGAACCUGAGGCUGGCCUUGGAUUUGCACGCCGUGAUAUCCCAGCAGAGGAAUGGCUACGCGUCGCUCCAGCUCCUUCUGAGGUGGAGGCGUGAGAUCGGCCUCAACACCGAGAUCGGCGCUUUCCUCAAGAAAUACCCCCACAUUUUCGAGAUCUACGUGCACCCUGUCAAAAGGAACCAUUGCUGCAGGAUCACCCGAAAGAUGGCUGAUUUGGUCGCCGAAGAAGAUGCUGUCAUCAGGGAAAAUGAGCCCGCCGUGGUUCAGCGGCUCAAGAAACUUCUCAUGAUGUCUACGGACGGAACUCUGAAUAUGCAUGCAUUAUGGCUCGUAAGGAAGGAGCUUGGCCUGCCCGAUGACUACAGGUCUUCUAUGCUGCCAAACCAUCAGUCUGAUUUUUCUCUUGAAACCCCUGAUACUCUGACAUUGAUCACCAGGGAUGAGAAUCUGGCUGUAGCUAAUGUCGAAGAAUGGAGGGACAAGGAGUAUACAGAAAAAUGGUUAGCGGAAUAUGAGACCAAAUAUGCUUUUCCAGUAAACUUCCCUACAGGCUUUAAGAUUGAGAAAGGUUUUAGGGAAAAGCUUAAGAAUUGGCAGAGGCUUCCCUACACCAAACCUUACGAGAAGAAUGAUUUGCAUCCAAUCACCAACUCUGAGAGGCUUGAGAAACGUAUUGUUGGUAUUCUUCAUGAACUCUUAAGCUCGACAGUCGAAAAGAUGGUGCCACUGGAGAGGUUGUCACACUUCAGGAGACCAUUUUCGAUGGAGGUAAACUUGCGGGAACUUCUUCUUAAGCACCCUGGCAUUUUCUACAUCUCGACGAAAGGAAGCACGCAAACUGUGCUUCUUAGGGAGAGUUAUAAUAAAGGAUGUUUGCUUGAGCCAAACCCUGUUUAUAGCGUGCAAAGGAAAAUGUUAGAUCUGAUUUUGGCUGGAUGCCGUGGCAUUGUUCAAACUGAAAAUGCCAUCUCACUUGUUGAGGAGGAUAGCCAGGGAAGCAGUCAUGGGUCACAGAAUCACACAUGCCAGGUGGAUAACAUGAAUUCCAUGUCACAGUUUGAAAGUGACUCCUCUGUAGAGUCAUUUUCUUGA